rnacentral:rRNA from 1 species
ACUCCUGCGGGAGGCAGCAGUGGGGAAUUUUGGACAAUGGGCGAAAGCCUGAUCCAGCAAUGCCGCGUGCAGGAUGAAGGCCUUCGGGUUGUAAACUGCUUUUGUACGGAACGAAAAAGCUCCUUCUAAUACAGGGGGCCCAUGACGGUACCGUAAGAAUAAGCACCGGCUAACUACGUGCCAGCAGCCGCGGUAAUACGUAGGGUGCGAGCGUUAAUCGGAAUUACUGGGCGUAAAGCGUGCGCAGGCGGUUAUGUAAGACAGAUGUGAAAUCCCCGGGCUCAACCUGGGAACUGCAUUUGGAACUGCAGGGCUAGAGUACGGUAGAGGGGGAUGGAAUUCCGCGUGUAGCAGUGAAAUGCGUAGAUAUGCGGAGGAACACCGAUGGCGAAGGCAAUCCCCUGGACCUGUACUGACGCUCAUGCACGAAAGCGUGGGGAGCAAACAGGAUUAGAAACCCUUGUAGUCC